rnacentral:rRNA from 1 species
UUCAUGGAGAGUUUGAUCCUGGCUCAGGACGAACGCUGGCGGCGUGCCUAAUACAUGCAAGUCGAGCGGACCGACGGGAGCUU